GGGAAAGUUGCAAAGCACUUUGAAGAGAGAGUUAAAGAGGACGUGAAACCGGUAAGGUGGAAACGGAUAGAGCCAGCGUAUCUGGCCUGUAUUCAACCGUCGCGUUGGUGCUGCUGGGGCUAUCACUUCCAGACUUGGGGUGUGGUCUUGGCGUGUGCUUGCGCAGUGGUGCAUUUGCAGGCGGUGUGCGCUGAGACGCUUGGGGCAGCUGCUUGAGCUCAGUUUUGAGGCCAGCUUGCUGGUACCCGAUCUGGGGGAGAGCUGUUUGCCCUGGGUGUGCCGAGUGGGCAUGGCUUACGGGCUCGGGUGGGUGCCGAGCUGGCAACUGGUUACAGCCGCAUGCGACAUGUGCCAGAGGCUAGUUCGGUCCUAUUCGAGCUCUCAUGUUCGUUCUCAGCGUAAAAGCUGGUCAUCUGUCCGACCCGUCUUGAAACACGGACCAAGGAGUUUAUCGUGUGCGCGAGUCAUUGGGCGUUCAAAACCCAAAGGCGAAAUGAAAGUGAAUGUACCCGCAAGGGGCUGACGUGCGAUCCCGGUUGUUUCGGCAAUUGGGCGCAGCAUGGCCCCAUCUCGACUGCUUGCAGUGGGGUGGAGGUAGAGCGUACGCGGUGAGACCCGAAAGAUGGUGAACUAUUCCUGAGCAGGAUGAAGUCAGAGGAAACUCUGAUGGAAGUCCGAAUGACGAUUCUGACG
rnacentral:rRNA from 1 species